UCUACAGUGCACGUGUCUCCAGC
rnacentral:miRNA from 1 species